rnacentral:tRNA from 1 species
CCCGCCGUAGCUCAGCGGCAGAGCGCCCGGCUGUAGGGGUUACCCGCCCACCAAACUACCCGCCCUGGGGUUGGAUGAGGGUGGGUCGGCAGUUACCGGGUGGUCGGGGGUUCAAGUCCCCCCGGCGGGA